UACGGAGGGUGCAAGCGUUAUCCGGAUUCACUGGGUUUAAAGGGUGCGUAGGUGGGCAGGUAAGUCAGUGGUGAAAUCUCCGAGCUUAACUCGGAAACUGCCAUUGAUACUAUCUGUCUUGAAUUAUCUGGAGGUGAGCGGGAAUAUGUCAUGUAGCGGUGAAAUGCUUAGAUAUGACAUAGAACACCAAUUGCGAAGGCAGCUGGCUACACAUAUAUUGACACUGAGGCACGGAAAGCGUGGGGAUCAAACAGG
rnacentral:rRNA from 1 species